CCUGGUGAACACCGACACUCUGGAGCUGAAGCUGAUCGACUUCGGCUCCGGUCACCUGCUUGACAGCGCUGGCUAUGACAGCUUGAAAUAUAUAGGAGCAUUCCUGUUCUGCCCACCAGAGGUCUUCUCCAAACCCAAAUACUACGCCGUCCCAACAAACGUCUGGGCUCUAGGUGUGACGCUGUUUAUGAUGGUGAACACAAAGCUGCCUUUUUGCAACGUCAAGCAAAUAUUGGACGCCUGUCCUUACACUUGGAAAGCUGAUGUAUCCAGCGCAUGCAGUGAUCUGAUCUAUCAGUGUCUGGAGCGCAGACCAGCGAAGCGGCCCACGUUAGAGCAGAUCUUACAGCACCAAUGGUUUGAAAGUCAGCUCUAGGAUGAAGGCAGGCGUGGGAUCCUUCUGUCAUCUGGGUCAGACGUAAGAUGAUGAAACAGAGACUGAGUGAAGACAGGGUCAAGAAUACUGUUCCUCAGAGGACACACAACAUCCAGUCGGCUGAAGAACCCUGGACUAGACAGGAAACACGACCCAGAGACGGAAACAAUGGCUAAUUUUCUUGAGAACAUGAACCUAGACUUCUAAAGGACCGAUGUGGCCAUUUCUAAUAUAGUAAAUAAUUAAACCAUAAAUCAAGCAAGAAGAAGAUGAUGCAGGCUGCUGUGAAGCGUGUUCACAAGAGUUCUAACA